rnacentral:lncRNA from 12 species
UGUACUACUUUCUCUGGUUUGUGUCAUUCUUUGUUUAAAGUGAUGUAAAUAUGAACACAUCAUUACUUUCCUCAGAAGCAAUAAAGGAGCUGUCGCUGUGGGUGAUUCUCAGUCCAUUUAAAAGGCAUUGCUUAGAGAAGAAGGAGAUCUUGUCAUGGCAUGCACUGAGGCAAGAAUCCUGGAGAGCUGAGACACUGCUAUCACUCCUCAGAAGAGAGAGGCAAUGGAAAACUGAAGGACUUUGGUGCUAGCUGUCUCCACUCAGAAUGGCUACACAGAGCAUUUUAAUAUGUACUCAGCUAUCUGAAAAUGUUGCACUUGAACU